rnacentral:lncRNA from 1 species
GCGAGGGAGGGAAGGAGGGGAGGAGGCGGUGGUCGGCGGAGAGGCGCUUGCGGGUGUCGGUGAGCGCGCCCAUGGCCGCCGGCGGAAACCCUAGCCUGCGCCUGGAUCGAGCGGGCGCCGUCUCGGCCUCGGGGGGAAUUGGAGACGGAGCUCCGGUCCCGUCCCGCUCCGUCUUUUUCUCCGUUUCGUUUUCUUUCUUU